AUGCAGGGCAUAAUAUUAGCGGCCAUAGAUAACCCGUCAAACGCAGUGGAGUGGGCGCUGGAGGAGAUGGUGAACAACCCAGAAUUGCUGGCCAAGGCGGUGGAGGAGAUGGACCGGGUGGUCGGUCGCGAGCGACUGGUGCAAGAGUCGGACAUCAUGCAUCUCAACUAUCUCAAGGCGUGCAUACGUGAGGCAUUUCGCCUCCACCCAAUCGCUCCCUUCAACCUGCCGCACGUCGCGAUUGCCGACACCAUUGUUGCGGGCUACCGUGUGCCCAAGGGUAGCCACGUCAUCCUCAGCCGGCUGGCCCUGGGCCGGAACCCCGCCGUCUGGGAUGAACCGCUCCACUUCAAGCCAGAGCACCAUAUGGGAGACAACAUCAAUGUGGUGCUUACCGAGAGCGAAUUGCGGUUCAUCUCCUUCAGCACCGGACGGCGGGGAUGCAUCGCGGCAUCACUAGGAACAACCAUGAGUGUCAUGCUCUUCGGCAGGCUCUUGCAUGGCUUCACCUGGACCAAACCGGCUGGGGUGUCGGCCAUCAAUCUCAGCGAAUCGAAGCACGACCUCUUCAAAGAGAAACCGCUAGUGCUACAUGCUGAGCCACGUCUUGCAGUGCACCUCUACCCUCUCAUUAUGCAUCGUUGA
rnacentral:rRNA from 1 species